GGAGUAACACGUAAACAACCUGCCUUCAAGAUGGGGACAACAGACGGAAACGACUGCUAAUACCGAAUACGAUCCGAAAGUCGCAUGACAUUUGGAUGAAAGGGUGGCCUAUCGAAGAAGCUAUCGCUUGAAGAGGGGUUUGCGUCCGAUUAGGUAGUUGGUGAGGUAACGGCCCACCAAGCCGACGAUCGGUAGCCGGUCUGAGAGGAUGAACGGCCACACUGGAACUGAGACACGGUCCAGACUCCUAGGGAGGCAGCAGGC
rnacentral:rRNA from 1 species